rnacentral:rRNA from 1 species
AACGUAGGAGGCAAGCGUUAUCCGGAUUUACUGGGCGUAAAGGGCGUGCAGGUGGUGGUGUAAGUGGUGCGUGAAAGCGCUCGGCUCAACCGGGCGAGGCCGUGCCAAACUGCACGACUAGAAAACAGGCAGAGGCAAGUGGAAUUCCGGGGUGUAGUGGUGAAAUGCGUAGAUAUCGGGAGGAACAUCAGUGGCGAAGGCGGCUGCCUGGCCCAAUACUGACACUCAGGUGCGACAGCGUGGGGAGCAAACAGG